UACGUAGGAGACGAGCGUUGUCCGGAGUUACUGGGCGUAAAGGGUGCGCAGGUGGCGGCGCGCGUGGGGGGUGAAAUCGCCCGGCUUAACUGGGCGGGGGCCUUCCAGACGGCGUGGCUUGAGCAGCGGAGGGGGACGUGGAAUUCCGGGUGUAGCGGUGAAAUGCGCAGAUAUCAGGAGGAACACCGAUGGCGAAGGCAGGUCUCUGGGCCACUACUGACGCUGAGAAGCGAAAGCAUGGGGAGCGAACAGG
rnacentral:rRNA from 1 species